UAACGUAGACGAAAGUUACGCUAAUACCGCAUAUUCUGUGAGCAGGAAAGCGAGGGGAUCGCAAGACCUUGCGCUGAUUGAGCGGCCGAUAUCAGAUUAGCUAGUUGGUGAGGUAAAGGCUCACCAAGGCGACGAUCUGUAGCGGGUCUGAGAGGAUGAUCCGCCACACUGGAACUGAGACACGGUCCAGACUCCUACGGGAGGCAGCAGUGGGGAAUUUUUGGGACAAUGGGCGCAAGCCUGAUCCAGCCAUGCCGCGUGAGUGAAGAAGGCCUUCGGGUUGUAAAGCUCUUUCGGCCGGGAAGAAAUCGCACAGGUUAAUACCCUGUGUGGAUGACGGUACCGGAAUAAGAAGCACCGGCUAACUACGUG
rnacentral:rRNA from 1 species